CUCAGGACGAACGCUGGCGGCGUGCUUAACACAUGCAAGUCGAACGAUGAAGCCGGAGCUUGCUCUGGUGAAUUAGUGGCGAACGGGUGAGUAACACGUGAGUAACCUGCCCUUGACUCUGGGAUAACUGCUAGAAAUGGUAGCUAAUACCGGAUACGACCCUCGGCGGCAUCGCCAGGGGGUGGAAAGAAUUUCGGUCAAGGAUGGACUCGCGGCCUAUCAGCUUGUUGGUGAGGUAAUGGCUCACCAAGGCGACGACGGGUAGCCGGCCUGAGAGGGCGACCGGCCACACUGGGACUGAGACACGGCCCAGACUCCUACGGGAGGCAGCAGUGGGGAAUAUUGGGCAAUGGAGGAAACUCUGACCCAGCGACGCCGCGUGCGGGAUGAAGGCCUUCGGGUUGUAAACCGCUUUCAGCAGGGAAGAAGCGAAAGUGACGGUACCUGCAGAAGAAGCACCGGCUAACUAUGUG
rnacentral:rRNA from 1 species